AAAUCCAUACGCGUAUUGCCAUGUCCAUACGCGUAUGCUACGCGUAUCACAUUCCCAUACGCGUACCAACAGAGACCAAAACACGUUCAAAACAUCAUCUUCCUCAUCCAUACGCGUAUUGCCUAGUGCCAUACGCGUACCAGCAAUCUCAUACGCGUAUUGCCUAGUGCCAUACGCGUAUGACCAGAAACCAGAUUUACAGAUCUGCAAUGGCUUUUUCUGCUACGAGAUCUAUCCAAAUUCAUCCUUCCACAGUCCAAAUUUCACACAAAAU
rnacentral:lncRNA from 1 species